AGUGAACGCUGGCGGUAGGCCUAACACAUGCAAGUCGAACGGCAGCACAGUAAGAGCUUGCUCUUACGGGUGGCGAGUGGCGGACGGGUGAGGAAUACAUCGGAAUCUACUUUUUCGUGGGGGAUAACGUAGGGAAACUUACGCUAAUACCGCAUACGACCUACGGGUGAAAGCAGGGGAUCUUCGGACCUUGCGCGAUUGAAUGAGCCGAUGUCGGAUUAGCUAGUUGGCGGGGUAAAGGCCCACCAAGGCGACGAUCCGUAGCUGGUCUGAGAGGAUGAUCCGCCCCACUGGAACUUGGGCACCGUUCCGGCCUCUUCGGGAGGCAGCAGGUGGGAAUUAUGGACAAGUGGGGGAAACCUUGUUCAAGCCUUCCGGGUUGGGUAAGAAGGGCCUGCGGGUUUAAAGCCCUUUUUGUGGGGAAAAAAAGGCGCCGGUUAAAACCCCCGCUGUUUUGCCGGAACCAAAGAAUAAGCCCCCGCUUACCUUCUU
rnacentral:rRNA from 1 species